CGCACUUUAAACUUUUUUUUCUUGAAAUCCAAUUUUCAGAUCUUUGGAAAUGUGAAGUUUGCAAGAGAUGGUGUUGCUGGCCUGGGUGAAGGGUGACGUGAGUUUAUUCCAUGUGGCUAGAUGAGGAACUUGAACGUCUGGCGCGUAAAUCCUAUAUUAUCGUCUGGCUUUUUUUUACGGUAUGGCUGAGUCCUGGGAGAAGCUCACCCUGAAUCGCAGUACUUGGUAUGCCCAAUUGAAAUGUGAGGCGAAUGCAAGGAGAAGUCGUCCAAGCCACCAAUAUGUAUAAAACUAAUGUCUGCACCGUACUGUUCUGGUUGUCCUGGGUUCCCAUUGCCCCGAUUUAUAAUCUGUGAAACCAUAUCAAGCACUCGCAGCGGUGAACGAUGUUAACUUUGCCUUCAGGGCUAAGUUUGACAUUUUCAAUAUUGUACACGUGCUUUUUUUUGGGGGAGCCUUUUUCCCUCAAUGUAUUUUCACCAGAGACAAUCGGACAUGAGUGAAUUGAGCCAUGAUGAAUUCCUAUUGAGAACACCGCAGUGGAAAGGCUGGAAUUAUUUCAACAUGUUUCAAAUCUGAAUUCCCAACAGAAUAUUUCUUGGUGCUACUUAAGGCUUGUGAAUGUGCAAUGAUCACUUAAAGGAUUUGUUGAAUAAACUCAAAUAAAGUUCCUUCUUCAAAUUA